rnacentral:lncRNA from 1 species
CCAACAACAUGCCACGGAGCUCCAUCACACUCGGAAAUGAGCGAUGUGGUGGGUGGGAAGGUGUGAUGCAAGUUCAGCCUACAGACACAUGUGCUUCUUGACCACCAGUUCUUGCAGGUGUGGAAGAGAGAAGCAUUAUUGGUCCCCUACCACUUUUUAAGAUAUGAAAAGUUGCAUUAAUACAGAAGAGGAAGAAGAAUAGGAGGAGGUGGAAGAAGAAAAAGAAGUAGGCAAAAUAUUUACCAACAAGCUAGUGGAGGACAUCAUGUCUGUAGUCAAAGCUGGUGGUGCCUUGCCUGUCAUAGUUGAAAGAGCCAAGUGGAGGGUGUGUCUAGCCAGUACUGGGAGUGGUGCUCCUCCCUGAUGUCUCUUGCAAGACAGCCAUCUCUCUUGUGUGAUGUAUAUAUAGGAUGCUUUGCUGUGUAGGAGAUAUAUGGUUUUGCAUUGCCAAUAAAUCAGUGACUAUUGUUAUAGAUUAUCUAUAUUAUAUAAUUCAAGUCAUUAGAUUAUCUAUAUUAUAUAAUUCAAGUUAUCAGUGCUGUUCUAGGUGUCUCAGUCAAUCAUGGGGGGCGUGUCACCUCGCCUACCCUACUAUAGCACCACUCCAGGGGGUCAUGCCUCGCGAAUCUCCAUGCAAGCUCCCUUUCAGUGUCAAGUAACUCCCAGCAAGAGGCAUUGACUUGCUGCAUCCAUGAGUUCUGUGGAUGUCCCCUUGGCCUCCUCCAUGCUGGGUUAUCCCUUUCGGAGACAACCCGAUCUGCAGGAUCUGCUUGGGUCUAGGUGUUUACUGUAAGAUAAAAAUGUAAAUUAAUCAUGAGCCUUAGGUAAAAGUUUUCUGGUGGUAACAAUUCAUGCCCUGAAGGUAUAUAGAAAAAAAAUCAGCCAACUAACUUCAAUAUAAAGUUUAAGAUGAGUUUUGCACAUAAGAGAGAUCAUGUUCCUCCCCCCCUUGAUGGGAGAGGGUCAGGAGUAAGAGAAUGGUAACCCUCCCUAGGGAGCUUUGGGAGGGACAGCACCUCUUUGUGCAAAACUCUAAGACCUUAAACUUAUAUUUUUUUGGGGUUUGGUUGGCUGUUUAUAUACACCUUCAGGGCAUGAAUUUUUAAACACCGGAAAACAUAAUUUGCAAGAGAUAUUGGUUGGUAUCAAUACAUUUUUUUACGUUUCAAUAAAUAAUCAUUAACUCAAAAAAUUCUUAUUCACAUGUGGCUUUACUGCAGUGUAACAAGUAAAUGCUUAUAAAAAUGUGCUGCUACUUUUACCGUC